AUAAAAGUAGUUAAAUAAAAAAUAACGUCAAGCUUGCACCUUGGAAUUAGGUAGUUAUAUCUCUUUUAUA
rnacentral:tRNA from 1 species